rnacentral:rRNA from 1 species
UACGGGGGGGGCAAGCGUUGUUCGGAAUUACUGGGCGUAAAGGGCCAGUAGGCGGCCAACUAAGUCCGACGUGAAAUCCCCAGGCUCAACUUGGGAACUGCGUCGGAUACUGGAUGGCUUGAAUUCGGGAGAGGGAUGCAGAAUUCCAGGUGUAGCGGUGAAAUGCGUAGAUAUCUGGAGGAAUUCCGGUGGCGAAGGCGGCAUCCUGGACCGAGAUUGACGCUGAACGGCGAAAGCUAGGGGAGCAAACGGG